AUGCUUGCUACCAGUUCAGCGGAUCAAACAGCCUGUAUAUGGGAUGUGAGAAAUAUAAAAAUUAAGGAGCCUGAUUGCCUGAAGGUUUUCAAAGUUAACAAAUCUGCUCAGCCAGCUUAUUUCUCACCUAGUGGCCGCAUGUUAGCAGUAACAAGGUACUUUAUUUCUGACCAUUUUCCUACCCUACAACUUGCUUAG
rnacentral:rRNA from 1 species